rnacentral:rRNA from 1 species
UACGUAGGGUGCGAGCGUUAAUCGGAAUUACUGGGCGUAAAGCGUGCGUAGGUGGUCUUUUAAGUCCGUUGUGAAAGCCCUGGGCUCAACCUGGGAACGGCAGUGGAUACUGGAAGGCUGGAGUACGGUAGAGGAGGGUGGAAUUCCCGGUGUAGCGGUGAAAUGCGUAGAGAUCGGGAGGAACAUCAGUGGCGAAGGCGGCCCUCUGGACCAGUACUGACGCUGAGGCACGAAAGCGUGGGGAGCAAACAGG